CGGGACACGUGGUAUCCUGUCUGAAUAUGGGGGGACCAUCCUCCAAGGCUAAAUACUCCUGACUGACCGAUAGUGAACCAGUACCGUGAGGGAAAGGCGAAAAGAACCCCGGCGAGGGGAGUGAAAAAGAACCUGAAACCGUGUACGUACAAGCAGUGGGAGCCUCUUAAUGGGGUGACUGCGUACCUUUUGUAUAAUGGGUCAGCGACUUAUAUUCUGUAGCAAGGUUAACCGAAUAGGGGAGCCGAAGGGAAACCGAGUCUUAACUGGGCGUUAAGUUGCAGGGUAUAGACCCGAAACCCGGUGAUCUAGCCAUGGGCAGGUUGAAGGUUGGGUAACACUAACUGGAGGACCGAACCGACUAAUGUUGAAAAAUUAGCGGAUGACUUGUGGCUGGGGGUGAAAGGCCAAUCAAACCGGGAGAUAGCUGGUUCUCCCCGAAAGCUAUUUAGGUAGCGCCUCGUGAAUUCAUCUCCGGGGGUAGAGCACUGUUUCGGCAAGGGGGUCAUCCCGACUUACCAACCCGAUGCAAACUGCGAAUACCGGAGAAUGUUAUCACGGGAGACACACGGCGGGUGCUAACGUCCGUCGUGAAGAGGGAAACAACCCAGACCGCCAGCUAAGGUCCCAAAGUCAUGGUUAAGUGGGAAACGAUGUGGGAAGGCCCAGACAGCCAGGAUGUUGGCUUAGAAGCAGCCAUCAUUUAAAGAAAGCGUAAUAGCUCACUGGUCGAGUCGGCCUGCGCGGAAGAUGUAACGGGGCUAAACCAUGCACCGAAGCUGCGGCAGCGACACUAUGUGUUGUUGGGUAGGGGAGCGUUCUGUAAGCCUGUGAAGGUGUACUGUGAGGUAUGCUGGAGGUAUCAGAAGUGCGAAUGCUGACAUAAGUAACGAUAAAGCGGGUGAAAAGCCC
rnacentral:rRNA from 1 species